AUGAACCCCAGCGCCCCCAGCUACCCCAUGGCCUCGCUCUACGUGGGGGACCUCCACCCCGACGUGACCGAGGCGAUGCUCUAAGCUCAGCGUGGCCGGGCCUAUCCUCUCCAUCCGGGUCUGUAGGGACCUGAUUACCUGCCGCUGCUUGGGCUACGAGUAUGUGAACUUCCAGCAGCCAGCGGAUGUGGAGUGCGCUUUGCUUUGGACACCAUGAAUUUUGAUUUUAUAAACGGGAAGCCAGUACGCAUCAUGUGGUCUCAGUGUGAACCAUCACUUCGCAAAAGUCGAGUGGGCAACAUAUUCAUUAAAAAUCUGGACAAAUCCAUUGAUAAUAAAACACUGUAUGAUACAUUUUCUGCUUUUUGUAACAUCGUUACA
rnacentral:lncRNA from 1 species